GUGUCAGCAGCCGCGGUAAUACGGAGGAUUUGAGCGUUAUCCGGAUUUAUUGGGUUUAAAGGGAGCGUAGGCGGCCUGUUAAGUCAGAAAUAAAAGACGGCAGCUCAACUGUCGCAGUGCCCUUGAUACUGAUGGGCUUGAAUUCAGAUGAGGUAGGCGGAAUGUGACAAGUAGCGGUGAAAUGCAUAGAUAUGUCACAGAACACCGAUUACGAAGGCAGCUUACUAAACUGCGAUUGACGCUGAGGCUCGAAAGCGUGGGGAUCGAACAGGAUUAGAUACCCUGGUAGUCCACGCCCUAAACGAUGAUGACUCGAUGUUAGCGAUAUACCGUUAGCGUCCAAGCGAAAGCGUUAAGUCAUCCACCUGGGGAGUACGUCCGCAAGGGUGAA
rnacentral:rRNA from 1 species